rnacentral:lncRNA from 1 species
UUCUACCAGGCUGUGAUCUGCCAGCGUUUUAUGAGAGCUGACGUCACACCAGGAAGGAGGCACCCAUAGCAUCUGCAAAUGCAGGGGCUCAAGCUGUGGAUCUUGGCGUUCCACCCAGCCUCCACCAAAUAGCCCCAAAGCCAUGUCCACAUACCUCUCAGCCUGUCAGACCACUUGGCCAAUGAAAUGGAGACAUGUUCUUUAAGAGAGGCGGGAAAUAAUGUUCAGUACGUUUGGAACUAUUAUUCAGUAGCAGAACUAAAGAAAACGAUGGAUGCCUUUGAUGCCUGGGAAGGAAAAGGUGUUAGCUACUGGUGGGUGCCUCACGAGCUGAUGGAGUGUUGGACGCUGGGAGAGCGGCCUAUACUUGGAAGCCUAUGUCACAUGGCCCCAAUGCGAAAGAGCCGACUGACGGCCUUCAACGAAGAGGAGGAAGACAGUGUGAAUGCUUUACUCCCAAACUCUAGCAAAUCAACGGGAAAUGAGAUCAGAGACAGUGGUGGGGCCAAGUCUGCUGCAAGCAGCUGAAGCUGGUCGACCCUUUCUGAGGGCGCUCCCACCAGCCUCUACACAGAGUCCUUUCUCAGAGCUGAGCAACAUGGGACUGCUAAGUACCAGGACCAUCCGAAGAACCAAAAUGAGUGAUCCAAGUAAGAGAACUGGCCGUGUCUAUGUGGACAUUCCUGAGUGAGGAGCAAACACAGCAAAUUUUCUCAAUUUUGGUGAACAUGCAAAUUACCUUAGAAACUUAAAAAAUACCAAGCCCUGGAUGUCAUCUCCGGAGAUUCGACUUAACUGGUUUUGAGUGGGGCCAGGUGAGUCCAAUAUGCAGCCAUUGGCCCUGAGAGUUACAUAACCCUCUGGCUGCUACUUGGCAUCUCUGUGGGAGGCUGAACCACAUCUGUGCGGCUUCUGGUACAUGCUGUGUCUUUGAUGUCUGUUGUGUCGGCCCCAGGAGAAAGGACAAAGGAGAAUGCUACUCUUGGUGUGUUUCUGGGUGGGGUAUUUCAGGCAGGCCUAGAUUUCGAAGCUUCGGGGUGAAGGAUGAAUUUCUGCUGUCAUUUCCUUCUGUCUCCAGCUCCAUCAGGGUCUUUAUGACCCAGGAUAAGGUUAUUAUGGGCUGACCCUCACUAGUUAGUCCUGCAUGCCUCUCAGUGGGUGGUGAGUAUCUGGGGCUUGGGGUCAUCUGGGGGUAGGGGGACAUGGCAGCAGGUUGUGUGGAAUCUUGUUCCUGCCAUGGUUCUGAGCCCUCAGAGUGGGUAUUCACAACUUGGACUUGCUCUUCUGCUUCUGGUCUGAGAGGAGGUGAGACCAGCAUGAAGAGUGAUAAAAAAAACUAGUGACCAGAAAGAUGACUAGUGACUAAACCAUGAGAGCAGUCCCAGAGGUGUGAAGAAGAGGGAGGGGGAUGGUGGGCCCAUGCAGUCAUGGAAGGCUCCACGGAGGAGGUGAGACUUGAGUUCAGAAGAAAUUUUUUUUUCUUUUUGCCUUUUCUAGGGCCGCACCCACAGCAUAUGGAGGUUCCCAGGCUAGGCGUCGAAUCAGAGCUGUAGCCGCCGGCCUACACCAGAGCCACAGCAACACAGGAUCCGAGCCACAUCUGCGAUCUACACUACAGCUCACGGCAACGCUGAAUCCUUAACCUACUGAGCAAGGGCAGGGAUCGAACCCACAACCUCAUGGUUCCUAGU